rnacentral:lncRNA from 1 species
ACCUGCAGCAUAUGGAGGUUCCCUUCUCAGGCUCGGGGUCAAAUCAGAGCUACAGCUGCUGGCUUACGCCACAGCUACAGCAACACCAGAUCCAAGCCCCAUCUGCGACCUACAUCUCAGCUCCGGAAGCACGGGAUCCUUAACCCACUGAGCGAGGCCAGGGAUCAAACCCGCAACCUCAAGGUUCCUAGGCAGAUUCAUUUCCACUGUGCCGCAAGGGGAACUCCUGUACAAAGCAUACAAUCAUUUUAAGCACAACAGAAAUACUUUAAUGCCAGAUUAGUCAAAGCACUUUAUUUGACGGUUGUUCUCCUUGAUGUCAAACUUCAAACAAUGUAUGUCAAGUAUUCUAAUUUGUUUUACAAACAUGAUAUGAUCCUCCAUUUAUCUAUCUAUCUAAACCUUCCCCAAAGCAGUCUGUACAGGAGCAUGCUCCACUUAAAGUCACAAGUACUCUAAGUUGACCUCUCUAUUUGAUCAAGCUGAUAAACUAGUAGUCCAUCUUCAAAAUAUUUGGAGCUGUAAGGGCAUGUACUUGCUACUCUGGUUUGACUCUAGAUAUACCUUUAGUACCUGACAGACGGCAGUCAAGGCUACUCUUUUGCACUGUUAUUUUUCAUCUGCAGGGUCCUAACCUUUUUAGUCUUGAUUCAACUCCUCCAUAGGCCUUCCCAUUUCUGUCUGAGCGCCUUUCCUUUUCUUUUUCUGCAUUAUACUCUCAAUCCCUCUUCCCAAGAGUGUAAACAUCUAUAACACUGAGGCAAGCCCAGAAAAUCUGGGAUGAGACUGCCAGAUACACUUGAACCUCAUCAUGAAAUUUCUCAAGAAGGGGAUGCAAGAGGGCUUCCAAACCCAGGAAAACCAUCUCUAUCACCUGAUGCCAAAGCACUGGCUUCCCUCACUCCUCUGAGAGCCAGGCCAGGAGAAGGCAAGGAGCUCAGCCUCUGAAAACCACAAGCCCCAAGAAGGCCUUCCCUUGCCCUACCUGCACUUUACCUGCUCCUGCGUGGAGCAGCACCCUUGCUUCCCUGAAAAAGGGGAAAUGAAUCCCCCAAAUGCUCAGGCAGGUAACCCAGAGCAUGGAGCAGGAGGGCUUGGGGACUUAGUGGUGCCUCAAAGGGGAGGGCUAUUAGCAAGGCGGGCCUGGUGUGGAAUUCCUCAAAAGAUGCUAUACACAAGCUAUACAUGGGAGGCAGCCAGCUAACUGGGACCUAAGUCCCCUGGGACUCCCCCAGGGUCCACCUCCCACAGGCCCUCCCUCCUAUCCUCUUCCCUGCCUCCUGUGACCAGUGACCUGGACAGUAGGCAAGGGAGCGCAGAGGGCCUGUCCCACCUGGCAAUCAUCUUGCAGAAGUCCCAGCCAACUCCUUCCUGCCAGAGACAAACUGGGGGUCCCUGCCACCAGCCUGACUCUUCUUUUCUCCAGAAUGCUUUUUCUCAAAGUGAGAUAUUUACUAUUAGGAUGAGCUCAUCAAUGACUAUGAGAAUGCUGUGGUCACGAUGUGUGGCCUUUACCCAGAAGGAUAAUGCUCUGGUUUUGUUUCCUAACGUCCAGGCAUUUUGUUGACUUUUGUCAGUGACUUGUCACUGUCGAUAUGUUCAGCGCACAGUGAAUCUCAAGUCAUUUUCUUAUGCUAUACCUAACAGCUUAAAGCCUUUCAUUUACUACAAUUCCUAAAUGCACAUACUUCCUGAUUAAAAUGCAAGGCAGCAGAGCAUAAAAAGAUCUUUAUAUAAUCUCGAGUCCCUUCACUGGGUUUUAUUACUUACACUUUACUAUUUGUUUAUUUAGAAAAGACUCUGGCAGUGCUAAGACACAAUAAAAUGACAUUUCUUAAUGGAAUUGGUAAUUUCAUAUCACCCUUUCACAGAAAAACCUUGAGGAAUUCAGAUAUUCAUACAUAUUACUUAAAGCAGCAACAAAGAGUUCCCACUGUGGUGCAGUGGAAACAAAUCCGACUAGGAACCAUGAGGUUGGGGGUUCAAUCCCUGGCCUGGCUCAGUGGAUCAAGGAUCCGUGAGCUGUGGUGUAGGUCGCAGAUGCGGCUCAGAUCCAGCGUUGCUGUGGCUGUGGUAUAAGCCAGCAGCUAUAGCUAAGAUCUGACCUCUAGCCUGGGAACCUCCAUACGCCGAGAGUGCAGCCCUAAAAAGACCAAAACAAACAAACAAACAGCAACAAGAACACUAUGCACCAGUCUCAAAACAGAAUUUUAGAAAUUAAAAAUACAAUAGACUAUCAGAAACUCCAAAGAGGUGGGCAUUCCUAAGGCUUUAGGAAUUUGGUUAAAAUGUUCACCAAUCUCAAACCACCUCAGUAUUUCCAACUUAUACCACUUUGACCACUUGAAUCUAAUGAACACUCUAAAGACAUCUAACAUUAUAGUCUGUAACAAUACCCUUAAACACGGGAGAAAAAAAAUACAGAAAAGCGAGGGAAGCAAGACAACAGAGGCUCAGCGCCCCAGUGGGCUGGACCACAAUGCACUACCCAGCAAAUAAAUGACUUUCACCAACAAAUCAGCCAAUUACUGCACCUUAACAAAUAGUUAGCUCCUCCACCAAGUCCUGUGAACACUGCAAACCUGUUAGGUAGAGAGGGAAACCACAGAGAUGAUCGCACAUGAAAUACUUAAUGAAACGCUAAUGACAGUAACAAACUUCCCCAGAAUCUCUCUUUUUUUUUUUUUCGGUCUCAGUGUACAGUGGGUUGAUGUGGGAGCUCAGUUCCUAGACCAGGGAUGGAACCCAGGCCCCAACAGUGGUGAAAGCACUGAGUCCUAACAAUUCGACCACCAGGGAACUCCCUGGUGGUCGAAUCUUGAUUAGGUUCCUUACUGUCACCCACCCAUCUUCCC